rnacentral:lncRNA from 1 species
AGGGGCCUGGACAGUGAAUCCACUCUGGGCAAGUGGCAAGACAAGGGAGCAUGUUCCGGGUGGACAAGAACACAAGAACACAAUCUCUUGUUGGUCUGAGUUCUGCUGGCCGGCUACCCUCCUUGACACUGUUCGGUCCCGGACUGACCUCCAGGGACUGAAUCACCCAGGCUCCCUCGCGCUCUGACUUCUGAGGCUCCAACAGGAGGAUCAGCCUGGUCUUUGAAGGGGGCGCCAAGCAGUGCUGGGAUAUUUGGGCUCGCUGGAGACUAGCUUCUAUAGAUUUG